AUAUAUAUAUAUAUAUAUAUAUAUAUAUAUAUAUAUAUAUAUGCCAUCAGUUUAAGAACAAUAAAAUAAACAAUUUACUUAGCAAAUGGUGAUAAUGUUUGUUAAUGAAAGAGAGUACGGGACAAAUUAACAUUUAAACCUUAAACUAGCAGCGCACGUCACUUUCUGAGUGAAGUGCGCGACGUGCGCGUGCCCGUCAUUUUGUAACGGUCAACUUCCAGCAGACGGACACGGAGGAAAGGUAAGUCCUAUAAAUCUACUUUUAUUCAUAGAUUUUAACUGAUAUAACGUUAAAUGCCAUCAAAGAGGAGUAGUGUUUUGUAUUUUUGUAGGUUUUCUCUUUCAAUUUAAUAAAUAAAUGCUCUGUUUGGUUAAUUAGCUCAAAAGCAGUCUCAGAGGUGGUCUAAGGUAACGGUAACUGUUAAAAUCGAAUAUAACCUUACCUGUUUUAAAUUAUUUGAAAUUUAUCACUAUAAACUAUACAGUGUUAACUUUCUAAUCAUUAAAUUUUUAACCGUAGUAACGUUAAUUAGUUUGUUUGAAUACCUGCUGCUCGAGCUUGAUGAUGCUCAUGCUAGCCAUGCUGUGAACUUGAAUAUAAACCGAUAUAACGUUAAAUAUAAAGUUUAACGUUAAUUAGACCGAGGCUGCCGAAAUCAUGUUCAGUGUAACGUUAUGUGGGAUUAAUAAUUUCCCCUUUUCUCCCUCAAGUGGCAGGCUUGUAAAUUCUGUCAUCUGUUCAUUAUUGGUGUUGAUGGUGUUUUUCACAUGCAUGCUUUUUAAUGCUAGUUUAAUUCUCAAAUUGAUCUGAUACUUUCGUUUCACAAAAAGUAAACAAAUUGUUCACUUUCUUAGGGCCUGACAACCACCAGUUGGGUCCAUGAUUCAGGGAAGAGACAGUCUGGGCAGCAGCAACAAGACAACUAUUACAAGUAGAGAUGGGUUUCAAGAACUGGUACUAAUUUGGUUCCUGACUUGUUCAGUACUGAAAACAUUUACAUAAGGUACAGGAUCAAUAGUGCUGCUAUCAGUAUUCUUGUAACAUUGAUUCAUUACCCUUUAGACACAACCACAUAUCCUCCAAAUCAUCUCUGCGUGGAUGGCAGCAAGGAUCCAGGAUCAAGAGAUCAUUCUUCAUGGAGACUGUUCCACAGGAAGCAGUUUCUCCUGGGUCAUCCUGACCAUUCUGCUGUUCUGGAUGUAAGGCCGUGCUGGAACUACAUUUCUCGUGGUUGAAAGAUUUGUGCAGCGGUAUCCAGACAUAUAACGCCCCAUCACACGGGGCGUCAACACCUCUCGUUUACUUUUAAAUGAAGUGACGUCAAGCAUGGUGAAAUUAAUUCUAGAAAUUAAUUCUAAAUAGAAGUUGAAGACUUCUCAAGCGCCAAUGCAGCCGUCCUCCAGUCAGAACAUCUUAUGCAAAUACCCAAGCGCAGACGCAAGCCAAUCGAGUGCAUGCAAUACCAGAAAACUAAUGUGAUUGGCUGUCACUAUGAGAAGAGACAAUUUGAGGGAAAGAUUAAAAACAAGGAGGUCUGGGAAUGACUGAAGGGAUCUGACAGCAGUGAGGGAAGGAAGUAAUCACCAGAAUCUCAGAGGAUGUUGACAGCAGGCCCAGGAUGAAGAAGGAGGAAGAACACGUUUAACAAUUUUCUCAUAAGCUUGCCAUGUGUUAUAAUAAAAACAAUGAACAUGACUACAAUAAUAUGCUUAAUGUUAUUAAAAGAUUACAGUUUGCAAGAAGUCUGAGUGUCUGACUCUACACUAGAGGAACUCUUUUCUGAAGAAGAUCAGGUGCUGAGAAGGAGCCUUGUUCUACAGCAAAACACUGCAUCAAGCCUCCUGUCCUUCCCUCAGAAGAGCCUGUCUUCUGCUGCUGGGGUAAGAAACACCCUCUUCCUCUUCUCUAUCAGCUGUCCAGCACCUAACUCUGCCUCCUCAGCACUGUCUGACAGAGUCUUCUCCACAGUCAGUAAUCA